rnacentral:rRNA from 1 species
UACGAAGGGGGCUAGCGUUGCUCGGAAUGACUGGGCGUAAAGGGCGCGUAGGCGGCUUAUACAGUCAGGCGUGAAAUUCCUGGGCUCAACCUGGGGACUGCGUCUGAUACGUAUGGGCUUGAGUGUGAAAGAGGGUCGUGGAAUUUCCAGUGUAGAGGUGAAAUUCGUAGAUAUUGGAAAGAACACCGGUGGCGAAGGCGGCGACCUGGUUCAUUACUGACGCUGAGGCGCGAAAGCGUGGGGAGCAAACAGGGAUUAGAUACCCUGGUAGUCCACGCUGUGAACGAUGUGUGCUGGAUGUUGGGGUGCUUAGCACUUCAGUGUCGUAGCUAACGCGGUAAGCACACCGCCUGGGGAGUACGGCCGCAAGGUUGAAACUCA